GAACUAGAUUUGUUAUUGUACUUUUGAUGAAAAGUGACUUUCUAGACAUAAAAUGUCACUUUUUUCACCUUAUCAUACUUUUUCAUCAACUUUUGCAUUUUAAUGUAAACAAUCCUAUUUCGUAAUAUUUUGGGUCAGAAACAUUUCAUAGUACUAUAUUAUGUGUAAAUAUGCGACAAGAAUCAAAUUGGAGUAGGUCGGGCAACUGAUUAUAUGAGUUUGUUAGAAAAACCACUUUCCUUUGCUCCUAGCGCCUUCUAGUUCGCUGUAUAGCGUUUUGAGCGGAUAAAGAGCACAAGUGUGUAAGGGGACACAGGAUGAAUGUGAACUAGUUUUGUUAUUGUACUUUUGAUGAAAAGUCACUUUCUAGACAUAAAAUGUCACUUUUUUCACCUUAUCAUACUUUUUCAUCAACUUUUGCAUUUUAAUGUAAACAAUCCUAUUUCGUAAUAUUUUGGGUCAGAAACAUUUCAUAGUACUAUAUUAUGUGUAAAUAUGUGAAAAGAAUCAAAUUGGAGUAGGUCGGGCAACUGAUUAUAUGAGUUUGUGUUAAAAACCACUUUCCUUUGCUCCUAGCGCCUUCUCGUUCGCUGUAUAGCGUUUUGAGCGGAUAAAGAGCACAAGUGUGUAAGGGGACACAGGAUGAAUGUGAACUAGAUUUGUUAUUGUACUUUUGAUGAAAAGUGACUUUCUAGACAUAAAAUGUCACUUUUUUCACCUUAUCAUACUUUUUCAUCAACUUUUGCAUUUUAAUGUAAACAAUCGCAUUUCAUAAUAUUUUGGGUCAGAAACAUUUCAUAGUACUAUAUUAUGUCUAACUAUGUGAAAAGAAUCAAAUUGGAGUAGGUCGGGCAACUGAUUAUAUGAGUUUGUUAGAAAAACCACUUUCCUUUGCUCCUAGCGCCUUCUAGUUCGCUGUAUAGCGUUUUGAGCGGAUAAAGAGCACAAGUGUGUAAGGGGACACAGGAUGAAUGUGAACUAGAUUUGUUAUUGUACUUUUGAUGAAAACUGACUUUCUAGACAUAAAAUGUCACUUUUUUCACCUUAUCAUACUUUUUCAUCAACUGUUGCAUUUUAAUGUAAACAAUCCUAUUUCGUAAUAUUUUGGGUCAGAAACAUUUCAUAGUACUAUAUUAUGUGUAAAUAUGCGACAAGAAUCAAAUUGGAGUAGGUCGGGCAACUGAUUAUAUGAGUUUGUUAGAAAAACCACUUUCCUUUGCUCCUAGCGCCUUCUCGUUUGCUCUAUAGCGUUUUGAGCGGAUAAAGAGCACAAGUGUGUAAGGAGACACAGGAUGAAUGCGAACUACUUUUGUUAUUGUACUUUUGAUGAAAACUGACUUUCUAGACAUAAAAUGUCACUUUUUUCACCUUAUCAUACUUUUUCAUCAACUUUUGCAUUUUAAUGUAAACAAUCAUAUUUCGUAAUAUUUUGGGUCAGAAACAUCUCUUAGUACUAUAUUAUGUCUAACUAUGUGAAAAAAAUCAAAUUGGAGUAGGUCGGGCAACUGAUUAUAUGAGUUUGUUAGAAAAACCACUUUCCUUUGCUCCUAGCGCCUUCUCGUUCGCUCUAUAGCGUUUUGAGCGGAUAAAGAGCACAAGUGUGUAAGGGGACACAGGAUGAAUGUGAACUAGAUUUGUUAUUGUACUUUUGAUGAAAAGUGACUUUCUAGACAUAAAAUGUCACUUUUUUCACCUUAUCAUACUUUUUCAUCAACUUUUGCAUUUUAAUGUAAACAAUCAUAUUUCAUAAUAUUUUGGGUCAGAAACAUUUCUUAGUACUAUAUUAUGUCUAACUAUGUGAAAAAAAUCAAAUUGGAGUAGGUCGGGCAACUGAUUAUAUGAGUUUGUUAGAAAAACCACUUUCCUUUGCUCCUAGCGCCUUCUCGUUCGCUCUAUAGUGUUUUGAGCGGAUAAAGAGCACAAGUGUGUAAGGAGACACAGGAUGCAUGCGAACUACUUUUGUUAUUGUACUUUUGAUGAAAACUGACUUUCUAGACAUAAAAUGUCACUUUUUUCACCUUAUCAUACUUUUUCAUCAACUUUUGCAUUUUAAUGUAAACAAUCAUAUUUCGUAAUAUUUGGGUCAGAAACAUUUCUUAGUACUAUAUUAUGUCUAACUAUGUGAAAAAAAUCAACAAAAGUAGUUCGCAUUCAUCCUGUGUCUCCUUACACACUUGUGCUCUUUAUCCGCUCAAAACGCUAUAGAGCGAACGAGAAGGCGCUAGGAGCAAAGGAAAGUGGUUUUUCUAACAAACUCAUAUAAUCAGUUGCCCGACCUACUCCAAUUUGAUUUUUUUCACAUAGUUAGACAUAAUAUAGCACUAAGAGAUGUUUCUGACCCAAAAUAUUACGAAAUAUGAUUGUUUACAUUAAAAUGCAAAAGUUGAUGAAAAAGUAUGAUAAGGUGAAAAAAGUGACAUUUUAUGUCUAGAAAGUCAGUUUUCAUCAAAAGUACAAUAACAAAAGUAGUUCGCAUUCAUCCUGUGUCUCCUUACACACUUU
ensembl:lncRNA